rnacentral:rRNA from 1 species
UAGGGAAUCUUCGGCAAUGGGGGCAACCCUGACCGAGCAACGCCGCGUGAGUGAAGAAGGUUUUCGGAUCGUAACGCUCUGUUGUAAGAGAAGAACGUGUGUGAGAGUGGAAAGUUCACACAGUGACGGUAACUUACCAGAAAGGGACGGCUAACUACGUGCCAGCAGCCGCGGUAAUACGUAGGUCCCGAGCGUUGUCCGGAUUUAUUGGGCGUAAAGCGAGCGCAGGCGGUUUAAUAAGUCUGAAGUUAAAGGCAGUGGCUUAACCAUUGUUCGCUUUGGAAACUGUUAAACUUGAGUGCAGAAGGGGAGAGUGGAAUUCCAUGUGUAGCGGUGAAAUGCGUAGAUAUAUGGAGGAACACCGGUGGCGAGAGCGGCUCUCUGGUCUGUAACUGACGCUGAGGCUCGAAAGCGUGGGGAGCAAGCAGG